AAUGCACGAGAGUGCGAUGGGGGGACUCCGAGUGUAAUCUUCCCACAAGGAAGGUUACUUUUCUGCACUGUAAGGAGGUGCCGGAACAAGGGGUGGGCAACACUGCUGCCAGCCGCCGCGGUAAUAGCAGGACCCCAAGUGGUAGUCGUUAUUAUUGGGCUUAAAGUGUUCGUAGCCUGCCAUGCAAGUCCGCUGUGAAAUCCACGCGCUUAACGUGUGGGCGUGCAGCGGAUACUGUAUGGCUAGGGACCGGACGGCGUUGAGGCUAUUCCCGGAGUAGGAGUGAAAUCCUAAAAUUCUGGGAGGAGCACCUGUGGCGAAAGCGCUCAACGAGUACGGAUCCGACGGUGAGGAACGAAAGCCAGGGGAGCAAAGCGGAUUAGAUACCCGCGUAGUCCUGGCCGUUAACAAUGUGCGUUUGAUGUCGGACAACCUCCGAGGUUGUCCGGUGCCGAAGUGAAAACGUUAAACGCACCGCCUGGGAAGUACGGUCGCAAGGCUGAAACAUAAAGGAAUUGGCGGGGGAGCACGGUCAU
rnacentral:rRNA from 1 species